CCCUUAGAUGUCCUGGGCCGCACGCGCGUUACACUGAUGCAUUCAACGAGCUUAUAACCUUGGCCGAGAGGCCUGGGCAAUCUUGUUAACGUGCAUCGUGAUAGGGAUAGAUUAUUGAAAUUAUUAAUCUUGAACGAGGAAUUCCUAGUAAACGCAGAUCAUCAAUCUGCAUUGAUUACGUCCCUGCCCUUUGUACACACCGCCCGUCGCACCUACCGAUUGGAUGGUCCGGUGAAGCCUCGGGAUUGUGGAUCUUGCCGCUUUAUUGUGGCGUGACCGCGAGAACUUGUCUAAACCUUAUCAUCUAGAGGAAGGUGAAGUCGUAACA
rnacentral:rRNA from 1 species